ACCUUCCCAAAUUCAGUGCUGAAAUGCAGCUUUCAAUCACGGGAAGGAGGUCCAAAAUCUGAAGGAAAAUACUUCAAAAGUGUGGAAAGCAAAACUGUUCUCUCAAGCCCAUCUGCUGGAUAUGAUUAGUCUGUGGACAUUUUUCCCUCCAAAUUUUCAGCUCCUUAUGUGCAAACUAAACAAAUGGAAGGCUUCUGCUAAGCUUCGACUCUCACAAAACUCAGCUCCUUGCCUCCAACGAAUCAACAGCCACAAACCCCGUGCAGGCUGGGAAGAAAGAAGAGGGCUAGGUACUGUACAAACACAGGACAGCUGCACAGAUAUUAUCACAGAACAACAGGCUGAAUGGAUUUUGAAAGAUCAGAGUUUAUCAUGCUGCCCCAAGGCAAGAUUAACUAUCCCUGUGUUAUUCCUAAAAGAUGUUUGUAUAAGUCGUUCUUAAAGGCCUCCAAAGAUGGACACUCCACAGCUUCCCAGGGCAAUUUAUUCUGGUGCUUUACCACCCUUCCUGUCACAGAGUUUUUUCCCAUCAUGUUUAACAUAAAUUUCUCUUACUGCAG
rnacentral:lncRNA from 1 species